UACGAAGGGGGCUAGCGUUGCUCGGAAUCACUGGGCGUAAAGCGCACGUAGGCGGACUCUUAAGUCGGUGGUGAAAUCCUGGAGCUCAACUCCAGAACUGCCUUCGAUACUGAGAGUCUCGAGUCCGGGAGAGGCGAGUGGAAUUCCCAGUGUAGAGGUGAAAUUCGUAGAUAUUGGGAAGAACACCCGUGGCGAAGGCGGCUUUCUGGGACGGUACUGACGCUGAGACGCGAAAGCGUGGGGAGCGAACAGG
rnacentral:rRNA from 1 species